rnacentral:rRNA from 1 species
GGUGAACGCUGGCGGCGUGCCUAAUACAUGCCAGUCGAGCGAACGGACGAGAAGCUUGCUUCUCUGAUGUUAGCGGCGGACGGGUGAGUAACACGUGGAUAACCUACCUAUAAGACUGGGAUAACUUCGGGAAACCGGAGCUAAUACCGGAUGAUAUUUUGAACCGCAUGGUUCAAAAGUGAAAGACGGUCUUGCUGUCACUUAUAGAUGGAUCCGCGCUGCAUUAGCUAGUUGGUAAGGUAACGGCUUACCAAGGCAACGAUGCAUAGCCGACCUGAGAGGGUGAUCGGCCACACUGGAACUGAGACACGGUCCAGACUCCUACGGGAGGCAGCAGUAGGGAAUCUUCCGCAAUGGGCGAAAGCCUGACGGAGCAACGCCGCGUGAGUGAUGAAGGUCUUCGGAUCGUAAAACUCUGUUAUUAGGGAAGAACAUAUGUGUAAGUAACUGUGCACAUCUUGACGGUACCUAAUCAGAAAGCCACGGCUAACUACGUG